UAUUAAUGUGUCCCUGCAGGACAAUUGACGGAGGAGGAGGCUCAGGGUUUACUGGGGGAGCGGGAUGUGAACACUCCUGAAGCCUCCAGCAUGGUCUUUCUUCGUGCCGUCUCUUUGGCCACAUUGUGGUUGAGUCGCCUCAGACGUUCCUGGGGAUAGAAUAUUUAGGUCAUGAGGCUAUUUUUUUUUUUACAUUGUGUUACUUUUUGUUUACCUGUUUCCAUUUUUAAACUUGGUUGUUAAUUGCAGAUGCGAUACUACUAGUUAUAGC